UACAAAUAUUUAACCCCAUCCACAGGCUCACAGGUUAACCCUUGACCCCAAGCUGGCGGUGCUGCUUUGGGAGGUGGUGGAAGCUGUAGGAGGCAGGGCCUCAGUUGAGGAAGUGGGUCAGCAUGGCUCUGCAUUCUCAAGACACAACAAUCCAGAGGCAGUGACAUGAAUGCUUGCUCCGUGGACAGGUGGAAAAAUGACUGGGGAUAAAGGAUGGAUGAGAGCAGGACCUGCUGUCUCACAGCAGCGCCACACAGAACCCCACCUGCUGUGGAAUGCACACGAGCCAUUUUAGAGCAUGGGGGAAAUGUGGUAAAAUCCUUUAAAAUCUUCCUGACGAGUAAAUUCCUGGAAAGCAAUUAAUGUGGAAGGCUUUCAGGGACCAGAGGGAGUGGCAGAUAGCUUGAAUCCUGUUUCCUGAGUGGUCAGCCACGGACAUCACUCCAAACCAGGUAGCAAAGAGUGUGCUUUUUACAUCUCUGUUCUAGGAAGAACAUUUGCACAACUUCUAGCAACAUUCUUGGGUCAGUGGCCAUGACCCUGAGGCAAUGCUUAGCGCUACAGUGAUCGUUUGACUCCACACGGUACUACAAAAAGUGAAGCAGUGAAAGCCCUGGGCCACACCAACAAGCACGUGACAAGAGAGACGCUUGCUCAUACGACAGAGGCCUGCAUCCCUUAGGCAGAGUACUGACCAUGAUUGGAUGCGAAUGGAAGAAUGUCAACUAAGGAUUGUGUCUAUAUAGAAAAUCAUUAGCCAAACACCACAGGGCUAAUUAAUGUCAUUUGAAAUACUUUCUGUGUAUGUUGAAUAGAGUGCCGCCAUUAUCAUCUGGCCAAACGAAAUGCCUGCCCAUAAACAACAUGGAGCUAUUUAACAGGAUAGCUAAUUACAUCUCGUCUCACAGCCCCAACUGAUCCUAAGCAACAACUCCCUAAGCUGUGUUGUAGUGCAAGGUAGCCUAAGGCUCUGGGGCAGUUACUGAAUCAUGAGAUUUUACUGUUAGAACUUGUUCGGUGUGUUUAAAAACCACCAAAAUAUUGAAUGGAGUAAAGUUACUAGGGAGACCGCAGCUUGGAAAGAGGCAGAGGAGAUCAAGAUAGAGAGGGACACUUCAAAAGCCACGCUCGGGCUCACAGGCACCUGGCACGAAGCUAAGAAUGCUGGGGGAAUGGGAGGGAAAGUACCAAGCCCUGUGCUUUGCUCCAGGUCACCUGGUUCUAUGCGGCACCCUUGUGGGUGGCCUGUGGCAUCUAUGGCUGGAGGCAGCUGCAUGUGUUUCCAUGGUCUUCAGGUGGCAGGUUCUCUUUUUACCAAGCACUUUGUAUAAACUGUUCCCUUCAGCCUUCCUUCUUCACAUACAUUCUAUAGGAGGUUUAUUUUGGGCCCAAGGCGUGCUUCUCUCUGCAUUUGAUCUCAAAGCAAGCUCGUUGAAAAGAGGACCAGAGACCUAGACAAACCUUAUGGACUUGUGUCAUCCUUCUAUGUAUGCAAGAGACACAUUCCAGGUCCCCCCAUAGGCACCCAAGUUCUCACAUGCUCCGCUGUGGCAUUGCCAUAGAUCUGUACACAUCCCAGUGUGUGUAUUUUGAAUUGUCUCUAGACAAGUUUUGAUGAUAUUGCUGUGUCCAUGCCAGGGAGACAUUUGUUAAUGCUGCAUUGUGUUGGGGAUAAAGACAAGGGGAAAGCCACUCAUGCUCUGUGCAGAGGCAUUUUCAGUAAUCCCCCACCAUGGGGGAGGGAGGUCAGUUAAACCCUAGUGUCCAGGUUGGCUUUUUACUGCUGUGAUAAACACCAUGACCAAAAGCAAAUUGGGGAGAAAAGACUUCAUCUUAUGGCUUAUCGUGCAUCAUCCAGCAAGGCCAGGGCAGGAACUUGAGACAGGGACCUGGAAGGACGUACGAACUAAAGCAGAGACCAUAGAGGAAUGCUACUUACUCUCUUGCCUCCACUGCUUGUUCAUACAGCUCAGGACCACCUCCCACAACGAACUCCAUCCCCCAACCCACGUCCACCUUUAAUCAAGAGUCUUUCCUACAAACCAAUCUAAUGGAGGUAGUUUCUCAGCUGAGUGCUACUCCUCUACUAGUUUGUGUCAGGUUGACAAAUACUAACUAGCACCCUGGAUACAGCAGAUGUCAUGGAUACAAAGGGCUGGCUGCAGUGAUGGGACACUGGCCACCUUACUACCUUACUUCCUACCUACGAUGUGUCAAAGUCCAUCUCACUUUAAACCUAAAGGAGAAAAUAAUUUUGAAUAUUUUUCUUGAUUUUUUUCCCCAAAUGGGAUAUGGGAAAAAAGUACAACAUUACUGGGUCAUUAUUGUUCGUUUUCAGAACAAUGACAGAAUCUGAAAUCAUAUGGGAAAUGGACUCUGGGUUGGAACCCAGAACCUUGUCCCUCCCACUUAGGCAUGUGCUCUUACACUGAGCUACACCCUUGGCCUCAUACCUUCAUUUCUAAAAAUAAUGCCAAUGUGUAAUUGUGAGGAUUAAAGUAACAUGGAGACAAAUGAGUACACACUUCAUGUGCAUCAAAGCGGAGUCAUGCUAGGAAUUGCCUGGAGUGGACAUCUGUCUUAGGAGUUGCCAGGGAUGCUCAUAAUGACUCACAAAGUCUUCAGUGUGCUCCUUGACAUACAGUUUGUGUCACUGGUAUGGUCUUGGCCAGCUGCUCUCCAAUGUUUCCUCUAACUGGCUGCUCUCUGGACAUACCAUGAACCCCUCUGAGAACAAGCUUUUGCAGUGUAUCAGGGCCAACACCACUUGGCUUUUGAGAUGCUAUCUAUGUUUUCCAGCUACAGUGGUUUGUGACAUGCCUGGGCCUGUCCCAGUCUAUCCUAUGGAGACUGUUUACCUGCCUUUUUAAUGCUACAUACAUAUUCAGGUAAGCAGCCUGACGAUGAAUGAUGGCUGUAAGAAGCCAUUUCCAACAGUAGGUUGGGGUCUUGGUGGAUCUCAUGAUGCUCUUCUGUGGGGCUUCUGUAGACUUCAAGGACCAGUAAGCAGUUUUCACCCACAUGGGGGUAUGAGAUGUGAGAGGUGUUUUCUUGCUUUGUUCUCUUACAACUUUUCAAAUUAUAUGAAUGUAAUAAAAAGCAUACAUUAUUAAAAAUUUUAACUAGGUAUUUCACAUAUGGAGCUGUGAAGAAUUUCUUUUGGUGCCAAAAUGUCAUAAGGAAAAAAAGUAUGAGCUUUGUGAUUUGUGGACCUGCUAUGUAGGCAAUCUUUUUCAAAGUUGUAUUUUUCAAGAGGUGUUGGAACAUUUUUCUCCAUAAGGAUCACAGCCACAUUGCAGAGAACUUUCUAGAAAAGAAUUAAGAAUAUGCACCAAGAAACUCAUCACCACAACUGAGCACACAAUGAUUGCCACAUGAGACUCAGUCUUUAAAUGGGAUCCUUCUGAAGAGCAGAUUUCUUUGGGAGACAGGAUGAGGUAAAUAUGUAGAGACUAAUAUGACACAUGACUGUUUUGCAGGAUGACGCAACCAUGCAGUUGUUUUGUGAUUACCAAGCUCAUGAAGAAUGAACAAUAGACAUUGGAUGCAUUGGUUCAUGCUGUAGCCGCUGUAAUCAGGAAGCUGUGGGAGGAAGAACCCAAGUAGGAAGCCAAUCUGGAUACAUAGGGAUAGCCUGUCUAAGAAAACUAAAAAACUGUAUUCUGAAUACAACCCAAUGGCUUAAAGUAUCACUUAUAAGGAAACUGUAAACUUGCAAAACACUUAGAUUAUUUUUCUAAGGUUCCAAAGUAAGUGUAAUCGGUAAAGUUAAAAACUGUGGAGACAAUUAAGAGCAUGUAUGAGUCAGAUACUGGAAGCCUAGAAAGGAUCAAAAUUUAGAUCAAACAUGGGUUCUACUAAGGAUAUGCCCCCUAGCACUGUUUGGUCAAAGACCCACUAAUAUAUCCACCAAUAAUAAAGAGAACCUGUUCAAGUGUGUGUGUGCUGGAAUGACGCUCUUUGCUUUUCCAUUUUUUCCUGUCCAUUUGCCAGUACCAUUCCUUCUUAGUAUUUGUCGUGGUGGAAUGAUGUUCUGAGGACGUCUGAGGUUGGUACUAUGAGAGUUAUUUGUAAUGCUCAACUUGACACAGUGAAGGGAGGGUCAAUGUGGAAACUUCUGGGCUAGGAUGGCCUAUCAGGGGUGUUUGUGGGCAACUGUCAUGGUUACCUGCACAUGUGGGAAGAUCCGUGUGCAGCAUCUAUCUGUGACUUUGGAUCCUGAACUGUUGAGUGAUCAGAAAGUAGCUCAUUGAUUUCUGCUCCCAUUACUGCGUCUUCUCAGCUAUGUUGAACUGUGACCAGGAAUUGUGAGCCAAAAUAAAAAUUGCUUUUUAGGGUUCUUUAUCACAGCAACAAGAAAUAAAACUAAUCUAGAAACUGAACUUUAAGAAUUUAUUUAAACUCCACCUAGCCCAGAAGUUUCCACAUGGAUCCCAGCAGCCAGGAAAUGGAAGGAAAAAAUAUUCAUUCAUGGGGAGACAAUUAUACUUUCUUGAGCCACUGUACUUUCCGGAGUUAUGUCAUUUUACUGAAAUGGAGCCUUAUAAAUGGCAUAGCCCUGGUGUUUAAAAAUAAUGUAAUAUUCUUUGCAGCAUUCUUACAGAAUGAAUGAAGCACAGAUCCUGCUCAUUCUUCCUGUGUCCACUAUCCACACCAAAAGAAGAUCUACCCAAGUCGAAACCAUCACUCCAUCUGUUACUAUCACUCUUUGGAGUUCAGGACCCCAUCUGCUCCCAAGAGAGCAUGGUUGAAGGUCAGGGGUGGAGUCAGGAACAUUGGUUAGCAUGUUCAGCCCGAGUAGCUGCUGAGUCAGCAUCCAUUACAUCAUUUCUGCUCAUUCCCCAGGCCCUUCUCCAGGUCAUGCUGGACUCCUCCCUGCCAUGUGUCCUGCUCUUGGUGUCACCCUGUUCUUUGGCCCCAGUCUCCUCCUGCCGUCCUCAGAUGGAGGCAGACUCCAUGGAUGCCUGUCUUCUGUAUCUGGUAAACAGACACAGGAAAAUUGCUAGUUCAAAGUCAGCUAGAGCCACAAGGUCCCACUUCACAUUCUGAGUAACUGUCCCAGCUUCUGGAGAGCAAACAGAACAUGCUAAGGACCGUGACAUGGGAAGGUCAGUAGAGACAUCUAUUCUCCCAGUGAUGCUCAUACGGAAACAAUGUGUGACUGAAGUCAAAUGGAAAUACAAAAGCGUAUUUAUUCCUGGUCUAUGCAGUUCCUUGGACACCUGAUACCUCUCUCCUGCUAACAAGAGUUUCAACAAUGUUCACACACACAGAUGCCCCCAACUGGAGACAUAUCUAUAAAAAAAAUCUAUGAUGAAUUUUACUUGGAGCUAUAACAGCAAAAGUUCAAACAAUAUGCAUUCUUGAAAAACAGAAGAGUAAAAAAUAAAAGAUUACUGUAAUAUCCCAAA
rnacentral:sRNA from 1 species